CUGCGGAGGAUCAUUACAGA
rnacentral:rRNA from 1 species